rnacentral:rRNA from 1 species
GAUGAACGCUGGCGGCGUGCCUAAUACAUGCAAGUCGAGCGAACAGACGAGGAGCUUGCUCCUCUGACGUUAGCGGCGGACGGGUGAGUAACACGUGGAUAACCUACCUAUAAGACUGGGAUAACUUCGGGAAACCGGAGCUAAUACCGGAUAAUAUAUUGAACCGCAUGGUUCAAUAGUGAAAGACGGUUUUGCUGUCACUUAUAGAUGGAUCCGCGCCGCAUUAGCUAGUUGGUAAGGUAACGGCUUACCAAGGCAACGAUGCGUAGCCGACCUGAGAGGGGGAUAGGCCACACUGGAACUGAGACACGGUCCAGACUCCUACGGGAGGCCGCAGUAGGGAAUCGUACGCAAUGGGCGAAAGCUUGGCGGAGCAACGCCGCGUGAGUGAUGAAGGUCUUCGGAUCGGAAAACUCUGUUAUGAGGGAAGAACAAAUGUGUAAGUAACUAUGCACGUCUUGACGGUACCUAAUCAGAAAGCCACGGCUAACUACGUG